UGGGGAAUUUUCCGCAAUGGGUGAAAGCCUGACGGAGCAAUGCCGCGUGGAGGUGGAAGGCCUACGGGUCGUCAACUUCUUUUCUCGGAGAAGAAACAAUGACGGUAUCUGAGGAAUAAGCAUCGGCUAACUCUGNGCCAG
rnacentral:rRNA from 1 species